GGGCCCGUAGCUCAGCAUGGACAGAGCAACCUCACAUAAAUGAGGCUCGAACCGGCCUUCUAAGUCGGGGGUCGCGGGUUCGAAUCCCGCCGGGCCCGCCA
rnacentral:tRNA from 1 species